ensembl:miRNA
UUAAAGAGGUUUAAGAGAUAGCUCAGUGGGCUGGAGAGAUGGCUCAGCUGGUAAAGGCUAGGCUCACAACCAAAAAUAUA